rnacentral:lncRNA from 1 species
AGUCCUGUGGCGCAACUCCCCGAACACGGAAAAAAAAGGCGCAGUGGGGGUUCUGCUGUGUUUGCAAGUGAGGGUCGUGAGUGCAACGGGCGCAAGGCAUUAAGGCCAGUGUGUUAGUGCGCGGGCAGGCUCGCGUGGUGCUGGGGUUGCUGUGUGAGCGGCCCUCGUGGCUCGGGAGGUGCUGUGUUUGCGCAGGCGUGCGCCCCUGGCGUCGGGACUGGUGAGAGCCACGGCGGGCGCGCGCGCGUGCGUGAUGGUGGGGGCGGUGCAGGGAGGGGUUUGCUACUGCGCGCAGGUUGUUAUCUAUUUCUGUGUUAUAUUUGAAAAUGUUCUAAUGAAAAGGAAAAUAAAUAAUUAAGGAAAGGCGACAAUAACAGAUAAAGGGGCACUGUCAGAAAUAUUUUGGCUUUCCGUACUGAUUUAAUUACUUUAAAAAUACACUUCCUACGUUUUCCUCCGUGCCAAAAUCCUAUCGUAAACCACAGCCCUCCAAUGAUUCAGAGCCAAACCCUUCCAUCGCCGCAUUAGCAACUCCAAAGGGAGGCUUCUUUCAAGUUCUCUAGUAUCGUCCUCCCUCCCCUCCUCCACACCUACCCCCUCCCUUCAAGGUUGCGUGCAGUUCUCUUGGCACAAAUACAAUUUUCCUGUGAGAAUAUCUAUCUACGACAGCCUUCCCCUCCGUUAGGGACUCCGGAUUUCUGUGGCGACUGAGGCGCUCUUACCUUUGCGUCCUGAUCUCCAAGCAAGCACACUGACCUUCUUCAGGCAAAUACGCACUGUUAAUUUUCCAGAAAGUUCUGUGAGUAAGGUUUAUACCUCUCGAGUCUGCCACUAGAUGCCGCCAAAUCCCAGCAAAGGAUUGGCUGUUUGGUCCCUGGGAUUCUGGGAUUUUGUUUCCCUCCCCCCUCCCCUUUCUGAUUUGCUGAACGGUAAUAUCUAUAGGCAUCAUGGAUAUCGUUCAUUCCUAGGAAAAAAUAAAAUCAACUUCUGUAAAUAGCACUAGUAGGCAGGGGACUGUGACCCAAGAUCCAAAUAAUUUUGCUCAUUUCUUUCCUUUUCUCCUUGGGUUAAAAAAAAAAAAAGGCCCCUCUCCAUCCCUCUUUUCUUUUGUCCUUGCCUUGUUUAAUCAAAGAGUUAAUGAAUGACGCAAGCACUGAUGCUGAAGAUCCUAACCCUUUUUCCUCACCUUUUCAAAUGCUCGCAACUCACCCAAACUGAAAAUACAGAUAGCUGUUCCGUCAGUAAAGAUAGAUAAGAACUCAUCAGUAAAACCUGGACCCUGGUAUUGAAAACUGAUUUUCCUUUUCUCUUGAAAUUUGUAUCAGAUAUGUGUUUUUGCACCCUAUUUUCUGUAGUGGUAUUGGUAAACUUUAUUGUGUCUUUGGAGUAAGAGAAAGAGACCUAAUUGUAAACCUCAUUCCACCACUUACUAGUCUCAGUACCCUGGGCAAAUGAUUUAUGUUUUGUGAUCCUCAGUUUUUUUGUAUGCUUUCUAUAUUUUAGAUGCUGUGUUAUAUCGUUCACGUUGAUUUUUUUAUUCAUCACCAAGUCCUUAUUAGAUGAGCACUACUGGAUCAAAGUCAAACAACAAAAAUCAUACCCCUUUCAAUUAUCUAUCUUAUAUACUUGUACACCACACAGGAGGGAUUUUUUUAGAGCAGUGGUUCCCAAGGUGUGUUUCCUGGAUGUACCAGAAACAUCAGCGUCACCUGAAAAGUUGUCAGAAAUUCGGAUUCUCAGGUCCCACCUCAAACUUAAUGAAUCAGAAGUUCGCAGGGUGGGGUUUAGUAAUCUGUGUUAUUACAAACUAUCCCAGUGAUUCCAGCACACACUGAAGUUUGAGAGCCACUGCUUUGGAGAGUAGAAAUGCAAUGCAUAUUUUUGUACACACCACUAGAGGGUGCUACAGAAUGUAAAGCAAAAUAAUAAAUGAUGCACAGUAUAUGUUUUCAGACACCCUCUAUAUUAUCAGUCCUAUUUUACAGAUUAAAAACUAAUGUGUAGAUAUGUCAAAUUAUUUUCUUAGUGUACGCAACAAGUAUGGGAACCAGGAUUUGAACUUCACCUGCCUCUAGCCCAAGCCCCUAAUAGUACUCUGUUGUUUAACCAUGAUGACUUGUCUUUCCAAGCCUCAAAAUACAUUAGAAAUAUCUUGUUCCCUGCUUUGGCUAAUGUUGACUGGAGUGUCAAGAAGAGUGCAGGAAAGCAAACCAAGUAAGUGGAAAUAUUUCGAUGUUUCAUUCUCAUACCCUUCCUCAUCUCCAUUCUAUAAUAGCAUAUCACAUCAAGGCUUCUAAAUGUUUUCUUUCUUGUUUUUUAAUUCCCCAAAUAAUGUUCUCUUUACUCUGCAGUUGCCUUUUUUAUUUAUGUCUAAAUCUCUUUUUUUUUUUAACGGAAUUUCUCUCUGUCGCCCAGGCUGGAGUGAAGUGGCGCGAUCUCAGCUCACUGCAAUCUCAGCUCACUGCAAUCUCCGCCCUCCCCUCCACCCAACCCCAACCCUGGUUCAAGCAAUUCUCCCGCCUCAGCCUCCCGAGUAGCUGGGAUUACAGGCAUGUGCCACCACGCCCGGCUAAUUUUUCUAUUUUUAGUAGAGAUGGGGUUUCACCAUGUUGGCCAGGCUGGUCUCAAACUCCUGACCUCAGGUGAUCCACCCGCCUCGCCUCCCAAAGUGCUGGGAUUACAGGUGUGAGCCACUGCACCCAGCCAUAUGUCUAAAUCUCUUCUAUGUGUGUUGAAGUUAUCAGGGUGGUGAGGAAACAGUUAUUGAAAACCUGUUAUGGGCCACACACUCUAUACACCCAUUAAUCUCAACAAUAGGCCUGCAAAUUGGGUGAUAUCAUCAUUAUUUUAUAGAUAAUGAAAGUGAAUUCUGCAGUGUGUAAUUACUUAUCUUUGGUCAUAUAACUUGUAAAUAGUGGAACCUGGAUAAUUCCUGGCAUAUCUGCCCAUAUUAUUUUACUAAGCUUUCUACUUUUUGGCUUUGAAGCUGGUUUAGUUAUUUACUUGUUAAGUGACUUUAAGUUAUUUAACUUUUCUAAGCCUCAGUGUCACAUAUUAAAUGGGAACAAAUAUUUCUAUUUCAUAAUCUUAGAGCCACACUAUCCAAUACUGUAGCCAUUAGUCAUAUGUGACUAUUUAAAUUUAAAUGCAGUAAAAUUUAAAAAUUUAGAUCCUCAGUUGCACUAGUCUCAUUCCAGGAGCUCGAUAGCUACUUACAGUUAGUGGCUACCAUAUUAGACAGUGCAGAUACAGAACAUUUCCACCACCACAGAAAGUUCUACUGGACAGUGCUGAUUUAGAGGAUAUAAGGUAUAUAAAAGGGCCUAACACGGUGCAUAUCUCAUGGCAGAUGCCCGAGAAAAGUGAUCUCGUCUGCUUUUUUCUUUCAGCAUCAGAGCUAGGGGUGUUCUCCUGUUUUAUUGAUGGAGUUGGGAGAGGGAAGUAACUUACCCAAGGUAGUGUGAUAGGGGAUAUAUCUGGCACCGGGACCCACAUCUCCUAACUCUUGCUCUAACAUUCUGUCUAGUAUACCCAUCAUUAUGCUUUACUCUACUGAGUGAGGUUUCAAGGCCAAGCAUGUGAACAGUGUGAAUUAACUUUGGAAUCAGGGUGGUAGCAGAAAAAGGCAUAGGAACUGAAUGUCUCCUGUGUGCCACAUAGCACUGUGCCCAGCUUUUUACAUCUGGUAUCUUAGCAAAUCCUCAGUGAAGCCCAGAGAAUAAAUACCCCAAGUUGCUCAGCAAGUAAAUGGCAGACCAAGCCCAGGCUUUUUCCCAUUAUGUCAUGCUACUCCCUCAAAUGUGAAUACUCCCCUGCCACCUCCACUUACUAGUGGGUCCUCAGAAAAUGGGAAUUACUCCUCUUUUGAAUGUAUAGCUGAACCGCUGUCUUCACAGUCUGUUUCAACUGGAAUGGAAAAAUAGCUUAGGUCAAUGUUUGUUUGGCUCCAAGGCCAGACAGAGAAUAUUUAUGGUCCCAGCCUUCAAAGGACAGGCAAUGCUCUGAGAACCCUGUGUUAAUUUUCAAGGCCACCAUUAGCUCAUACCUUGCUUUUGUGCUAAUUAGAAAAGCAUGUCACCUGGGGGGCAGAGAAAUUGUAGAGAAGGGCCCAUUCCAGUGGAACAAUGAGAAAAAUAACUUUUCUUUCUGUAGGCUGUUGCAACCUCACCAGAACAGCUGAAGAAUGAAUUUCAGCCUGGACUCUACCUUAUUAGUUGGGCACCCUUGGGGAGGGUGCAACCUGCCCAACAUUUUCUGCUGGCCCUGUCUUACCUCAUGACUAAGAGAGCCUUCCUAGGUCUGGAAGGUAGCAGUCAGUCUGUUCUGGAGGGUGGAGAGAGACACCAGUGUUUUCCCAUGGUUUCUGGGUAGUAGAUAAAAUUGGUCUAUUCUAAGGUUAAUUUGAUAUUUUAAAAUUUUGAUUCUGACUAGCUUAUUGGAUUUUUUUGAAUAAUGUUUGAUUAAUGUAAAGGUUAAAAAUAAAACCUAAUAUUUCAGCUAAGCAAAUGGUAUUUCUUUAAUAAGGACGUAUUUCUAUCUAUUUAUACCUGCCUCAUUCCAUAGGAAUUUUAUAAAGCCAGUCCAGGAAUGUAGUCUGAAUCAAUCUAGUUUGCUAGCCUGUGAGACCAGGGCAAAGAUGAAAAUAGUCAUGGGAAAGUUUUAUCCUUUUAGGGGUAUCUGUCUUCUUCUAGUUCCUCUCUCCUCCUUUGACAAAUCCCCACCCCGAGACUGACCUACCCAUUUGACAGAAUGAGAUUACUUCUUCAAAUGACCCAAAACACUGAGAUCCUGAACCUAAUCAAUAAUGUCCUUGGAUGACCUUGGGAUGCCAGAUUCACACAUAAUUCCUUGUUGUCCCCUUCCUGAGUUAAUAGUUUAGCAUACAAUUUACCAAAAUUUGUAGUUUCCUGAGCCACAGACUUCACUUGGAAUGAUCAUAUAAAGUCAUCCAUGCUACAUACCAACCCACAGAAAUGAGGACCGCUUUCCUCCAGUGUAUGCUGAGUCCUACAAUCUGAGCACUGCUUCAAGAGGAUGCCUUGAGUCAUUUUUCCAGAGUUAAAUUUGCUUAUGCUUCUAACCUCCACCUACAGUCCCCGUUACACUGGGAAUGAUAAAAACUAUGCCUUUUGAAAAUAUAAGCUGUCAUGUUAUUAAAGAUGACAAACCAGUAGUAGUUAAAGUGCUGCAUCUAAAUUGUUGAAGCUUGUUACGUGGGAGUUCAUUAGACUGUUUUUCCUACUUUUGUGUAUUUUUGAAGUUUUCCAUAAUAAAACAUUUAAAAAGA